AGUGAACGCUGGCGGUAGGCCUAACACAUGCAAGUCGAACGGCAGCACAGUAAGAGCUUGCUCUUACGGGUGGCGAGUGGCGGACGGGUGAGGAAUACAUCGGAAUCUACUUUUUCGUGGGGGAUAACGUAGGGAAACUUACGCUAAUACCGCAUACGACCUACGGGUGAAAGCAGGGGAUCUUCGGACCUUGCGCGAUUGAAUGAGCCGAUGUCGGAUUAGCUAGUUGGCGGGGUAAAGGCCCACCAAGGCGACGAUCCGUAGCUGGUCUGAGAGGAUGAUCAGCCACACUGGAGCUGAGACACGGUCCAGACUCCUACGGGAGGCAGCAGUGGGGAAUAUUGGACAAUGGGCGCAAGCCUGAUCCAGCCAUACUGCGUGGGUGAAGAAGGCCUUCGGGUUGUAAAGCCCUUUUGUUGGGAAAGAAAAGCAGCAGGUUAAUACCCCGCUGUUCUGACGGUACCCAAAGAAUAAGCACCGGCUAACUUCGUG
rnacentral:rRNA from 1 species